rnacentral:rRNA from 1 species
AUACGUAGGGGGCGAGCGUUGUCCGGAAUGAUUGGGCGUAAAGGGCGCGUAGGCGGCGCGGUAAGUCUGGAGUGAAAGUCCUGCUUUCAAGGUGGGAAUUGCUUUGGAUACUGCCGCGCUUGAGUGCAGGAGAGGUUAUCGGAAUUCCCGGUGUAGCGGUGAAAUGCGUAGAGAUCGGGAGGAACACCAGUGGCGAAGGCGGGUAACUGGACGGCAACUGACGCUGAGGCGCGAAAGUGUGGGGAGCAAACAGGAGUAGAUACCCUGGUAGUCCACACUGUAAACGAUGAAUGCUAGGUGUAAGAGGUAUCGACCCCUUUUGUGCCGGAGUUAACACAAUAAGCAUUCCGCCUGGGGAGUACGGCCGCAAGGUUGAAGCUCAAAUGAAUUGACGGGG